rnacentral:rRNA from 1 species
AUUGAACGCUGGCGGCAUGCCUAACACAUGCAAGUCGAACGGCAGCACAGCAGUAGCAAUACUGUGGGUGGCGAGUGGCGGACGGGUGAGGAAUACGUCGGAAUCUGCCCAGUCGUGGGGAUAACUAGCCGAAAGGUUAGCUAAUACCGCAUACGACCGAGAGGUGAAAGCGGGGGACCGCAAGGCCUCGCGCGAUUGGAUGAGCCGACGUCGGAUUAGCUAGUUGGCGGGUAAAGGCCCACCAAGGCGACGAUCCGUAGCUGGUCUGAGAGGAUGAUCAGCCACACUGGAACUGAGACACGGUCCAGACUCCUACGGGAGGCAGCAGUGGGGAAUAUUGGACAAUGGGCGCAAGCCUGAUCCAGCAAUGCCGCGUGUGUGAAGAAGGCC